rnacentral:rRNA from 2 species
UUUUUUAAGUCUGAUGUGAAAGCCCUCGGCUUAACCGAGGAAGUGCAUCGGAAACUGGGAAACUUGAGUGCAGAAGAGGACAGUGGAACUCCAUGUGUAGCGGUGAAAUGCGUAGAUAUAUGGAAGAACACCAGUGGCGAAGGCGGCUGUCUGGUCUGUAACUGACGCUGAGGCUCGAAAGCAUGGGUAGCGAACAGGAUUAGAUACCCUGGUAGUCCAUGCCGUAAACGAUGAAUGCUAGGUGUUGGGGGGUUUCCGCCCUUCAGUGCCGCAGCUAACGCAUUAAGCAUUCCGCCUGGGGAGUACGACCGCAAGGUUGAAACUCAAAGGAAUUGACGGGGGCCCGCACAAGCGGUGGAGCAUGUGGUUUAAUUCGAAGCAACGCGAAGAACCUUACCAGGUCUUGACAUCUUUUGAUCACCUGAGAGAUCGGGUUUCCCCUUCGGGGGCAAAAUGACAGGUGGUGCAUGGUUGUCGUCAGCUCGUGUCGUGAGAUGUUGGGUUAAGUCCCGCAACGAGCGCAACCCUUAUGACUAGUUGCCAGCAUUUAGUUGGGCACUCUAGUAAGACUGCCGGUGACAAACCGGAGGAAGGUGGGGAUGACGUCAAAUCAUCAUGCCCCUUAUGACCUGGGCUACACACGUGCUACAAUGGAUGGAACAACGAGUUGCGAGACCGCGAGGUCAAGCUAAUCUCUUAAAGCCGUUCUCAGUUCGGACUGUAGGCUGCAACUCGACUACACGAAGUCGGAAUCGCUAGUAAUCGCGGAUCAGCACGCCGCGGUGAAUACGUUCCCGGGCCUUGUACACACCGCCCGUCACACCAUGAGAGUUUGUAACACCCGAAGUCGGUGAGCGUAACCCUUUUAGAAGUGCGACCGUCUAUGUGGACAAAUGAGUACA